CAUUAUCGAAACGAAUGGAAUGGGGGAGCAAGACGGCAAAGCAAAAGACUGUCGCUGGCUAGAUUCAUUUCUGGCAUGUGCACGUCCUUGCUUUUUUCGUCGACCUUUCUCUUUCUUUCUUUCACACCUGUGCACCCGUUGUAGGUCCUCGAAAGAGGAUCUAUGUUCUCUAUCACACCCGAUCGUCGUAUGUCCAUAGAAUGUAAYGAAUAAAAUACAACUUUCAGCAACGGAUCUCUUGGCUCUCGCAUCGAUGAAGAACGCAGCGAAUUGCGAUAAGUAAUGUGAAUUGCAGAUUUUCAGUGAAUCAUCGAAUCUUUGAACGCACCUUGCGCUCCUUGGUAUUCCGAGGAGCAUGCCUGUUUGAGUGUCAUUGAAUUCUCAACCAUGUCUCGAUCGACUUCGAGGCAUGGCUUGGAGUUUGGGAGUUGCUGGCGUCAAGUCAGCUCUUCUGAAAUACAUUAGCGAUGGACGAGCAUGUCCUGAUGUGCACGGCCUACCGACGUGAUAAUGAUCGUCGUGGCUGGAGCGUUCGGACGUCGCAUCUUCAUGGUCUGUUUCGCUUCCAAUCGAGAGUACCCUUUGAACGCUUGACCUCAAAUCAGGUAGGACUACCCGCUGAACUUAAGCAUAUC
rnacentral:rRNA from 1 species